rnacentral:rRNA from 1 species
UACGUAGGGCGCAAGCGUUGUCCGGAAUUAUUGGGCGUAAAGAGCUCGUAGGCGGCUUGUCACGUCGGUUGUGAAAGCCCGGGGCUUAACCCCGGGUCUGCAGUCGAUACGGGAAGGCUAGAGUGUGGUAGGGGAGAUCGGAAUUCCUGGUGUAGCGGUGAAAUGCGCAGAUAUCAGGAGGAACACCGGUGGCGAAGGCGGAUCUCUGGGCCAUUACUGACGCUGAGGAGCGAAAGCGUGGGGAGCGAACAGG